UAUUUCCUUCUAAGUACUAAUCUUUAGUGUUUUUUUUUUUUUUCUUAAGAAUGUUAAGAUUUUCAUCUGUUGAAAGUUAAUAUGUACUAGAGUGGGGCUGGAUCAAUGGUUCAUGAGUUGAGAGCAUGAACUAUAUUAGCAGCUGCCUAUAACCCAAGCUCCAUGAGCUCCAGUGCUCUCUUCUGACCUCCAAGGGCACCAGCACGCAUGUGACGCACACUAGACACAUAAUAUUCAAAAGACAAAAAGCAGUAACAUCCUUGGCUAUGACAGUUGCUUGUUUUACUAUGUUCCUCCUUUCCUUAUUUUUGCCAUUAGUAGCACAUGAAGCAAAGGAAACAUUAUUUGCAUCCCUGUUUAUAUAGAUAUAGAUUGUAUAAUAAUUGAUCUAUAUAAAGGUAAUCAUAUUCUGAAAUUUUCAUGCUUUGAUAUUUAAUUGUUGGUGUUUGGUAAUUUCAUUUCAUGUUAAAGCAGAUUUUAGUGCAAAACAUCAUUUGGCUAAAAUAUCUUUGCACUGUUACAUGGUAGAAUGUGAUCACAUUAGCCUCUGAAUUAUGCCUCAUCAUAGUUUAAAACAUCAUUUUUAGUUUUCAUUCUUUUGCCACAGCACAGUUCUUAAGUUACUGUCAUUUAAGUGGCUUGCCAUAAUAUCAGUGCUACAGUCCCUGUAUAACACUGGAAGCCUGUAGAUGACUGAGGACUACUGGGUAUUCACCUGCCCCAAGGCUCCCUUAAUUUUCCUGCUUUCCUUCAGAGUUCUAAGCUUUCGAAGAGUCAGUUGUGAAUGUACUCAGUCACAAAGGCCCACUAAAUUUAUGUUUCAUUUAUUUAACUGAUUUGUUAUGCAAUUGUGAAGAAAUUAAAGUGUAAAACCAGAGUUGUUCUGAGGAAAAAAAAAGUCAUUUUCUUCAGUGGUGCUAAAUUUAUGUGGGCAAAUCUGUAGAGAGGUAAUGAAGUCAUGUACUUUAUAUUCUGAUAUUCUCAAGAAUAGCUUGAUAGUAGCCAGGUGUGGUGGGGCAUGCCUUUAAUCCCAGCAGUUCAGGAGGCAGAGGCAGAGGCAGGCAGAUUUCUGAGUUCGAAGCCAACCUGAUCUACAAAGUGAGUUCCAGGACAGCCAGGGCUACACAGAGAAACCCUGUCUCGAAAAAA
rnacentral:lncRNA from 1 species